AACCAGGUGAUUUGAUCAGGAUUCCCAUCUGGCAUCUGUGCAAACCCAGAGACUUCAGCAUAGAGUUGAAGCUUUCAAGAUGGGAAUGCCUCCAGAAGCUUCGUGGAAAAAAAGUCUUAAGAAGAUUGUCCACUCCAUCAUCCUAAUGUACUUCUUUUUCACUUCAUUCUGUGUCGGCUUUACUCUGGCCUGCAGGGUAAGCUGCAGAGCAUCCCAUGACAUACAGUGGUGUAUUUCCUGGGGAUCAAGAUCUCUGUACAAGGAAUUAAAAGCCUGGAUAGCAAAGGCAGAGGGGUAGCUUUCCAAUUACCUGACAGAGCACUUUCCUUCCCCAGCUGUGUGAGUACUUAUAGCAUGGCUGAAGGCCACAAGAGACACAGCUGCAGAGUUCUCCUGCUUCCUCCAACUCACUGCCACAAUCAGUGUGUGAUCCUCACUUUUUUUACUUGCUUCAAGAAAAGAAGCAAAGUGAUACAACAAGCCAUUCUUUGAAUGAUGGGAAUAAAAAGGCAAGAUAUCUCUCAUCCUUUUCCUAUUGCUCUGAUGGGUGUGUAACUACAAGAGUUGCUUAGCAUGGCCAACAAGCAGCAGGAAAGUGAAUUUCCUUUGAAACCAAGAUUGAUGGAGCUUCCUCUUAAGCCAUUAUUUUCCUCCUUGUGCCUUUUAGCUACUCUGGAAGUCUAGCUGUAGAUGUGCCUGUUCAUUGCAGAGAGCUGGACUAGAUGACCUUGAAGGGUCUCUUUCAACUCAAACGAUUCUAUGAUCCAUCUUCAGUCCUCUGAUAGGACCCACUGCAGAAGGUGGCCAGGCACUGAGGUCUGUGGAGAUGCUGCCACUCCCUUAAGCCAUGGGCAGAUGAAAGCUGUGCAGUUUUGGAUUGGCAGCAGCCAUGGUUGGGGUGGUUGGGGCUGAAAGCAAAGCACUGGAAGCAGAGGCAUCUGCCAAGCAGAGAAAAAUGUGCAGGUGCUUGGAGCAGCAAGUCCUCCUUUGGACCCCAAAAGGAAGCAGGAAACUGCUGAACCUGAAGCCCACGGCUCCUGUUGCUGUUGCUGGCCUGGAGAUGCCCGUGCAGAGAACACAGAUGUGUGCUAAGUGUCUGUCUCAGAAGACUAUUUUAUCCUAUGGAGAGGAAAGGUGUGAAUCCAGAAUUUAACAUACAGGCCUGCUGCUUUGUGCUAGUUUUGCUUCAGAUGCCUGAUGUGGAGCAUGGAAGCUUGGAGGCACCAUCACCACCUUCGUGAACCGAGCUCCAUUUGGCAAGAAGACUCAGUAAGAGUAAAUUUAAUCUUAAUUUGAUCUUCAUCUUGGGUUCAACUGACACAUUAUAGCUUCUGAAAGUAUCAUUGCACUUUAAAAGCUCUUACUGACAAGACACAUUAAUCACUAGCGUCUGAGAAAGGUUUAAUGAGGGAAAAUGAAUGAAAAUGGCAUAAAAAGUUCACCAAAAAAAAAAAAAAAGAAGAAGUCCAAAGGGCCGAAAGAAGCCCCAAAUCCAGUAAAAGUUGGGCUGCAUUAUACAUUCAUUGACUCUUGUUCUUUUGGGGGUGUUUUGGUAUGAAAAGAAAGAAACAAUAGAAGACAAUAGCACUACCUUAUCAAAGUUCAUUCAAGCAGCU
ensembl:lncRNA